CGCUGGCGGCAGGCCUAACACAUGCAAGUCGAGCGAUCCCUUCGGGGAUAGCGGCGGACGGGUGAGUAACGCGUGGGAACGUACCCUUUGCUACGGAAUAGCCUCGGGAAACUGGGAGUAAUACCGUAUGUGCCCUUCAGGGGAAAGAUUUAUCGGCAAAGGAUCGGCCCGCGUUGGAUUAGGUAGUUGGUGGGGUAAUGGCCUACCAAGCCGACGAUCCAUAGCUGGUUUGAGAGGAUGAUCAGCCACACUGGGACUGAGACACGGCCCAGACUCCUACGGGAGGCAGCAGUGGGGAAUCUUAGACAAUGGGGGCAACCCUGAUCUAGCCAUGCCGCGUGAGUGAUGAAGGCCUUAGGGUUGUAAAGCUCUUUCAGCUGGGAAGAUAAUGACGGUACCAGCAGAAGAAGCCCCGGCUAACUCCGUG
rnacentral:rRNA from 1 species